GCGGAAGGCCGGAUGACCGCGGGUGCCCGAAAGGACCGCCCGAGGAAAGUCCGGACUCCACGAGACGACGGUGCCGGGUAACGCCCGGCCGGGGCAACCCGAGGGAAAGCGCCACAGAAAAGAGACUUCCCCACAGGCCCGGCAAGGGCCGGGGGUAAAGGUGAAACGGUGGGGUAAGAGCCCACCGCGGGACUGGUAACAGGACCGGCACGGCAAGCCCCACCGGGAGCAAUGCCGAAUAGGGACCGCGCGCGGGGCCGGUCCCGGAUCACGGUCCGGGAUACCGCUCGCAGGCUUGUCUUGGCCCGGCGGUCCGGGUUGGCAGCUCGAGGCGCUCCGGCAACGGGGGCGUCCAGAGGAAUGGUCAUCCAUCCCGGCCUUCGGGCCGGGAGGACAGAAUCCGGCUUACAGGCCUUCCGCGCAA
rnacentral:RNase_P_RNA from 1 species